GUAGGUGCGGGGCCGGCGGGCGCGGUAACAGGGAGUGGGAGUGCGUGAACCGGAAGUGCAGGGGGUAAAGCGGGCGCAGGCGGUUGGGUAAGCCAGCUGUGAAAUCCCCGGGCUCAACCGGGGAACUGCGGUUGGGACUGCACGGCUAGAGUACGGCAGAGGGGGGUGGAAUUCCUGGUGUAGCAGUGAAAUGCGUAGAUAUCAGGAGGAACAUCGAUGGCGAAGGCAGCCCCCUGGGCCGCUACUGACGCUCAUGCACGAAAGCGUGGGGAGCAAACAGGAUUAGAUACCCGUGUAGUC
rnacentral:rRNA from 1 species